GGGCAUUAACUUUUUUUCAGUUUGUAUAUCUACUAAAGGCAACGCGCGAGCACUAGCGCGGUAUACAAUCUUACAACGAGCAUAAUAAUUUGGUGUAUCUGUUUGCUAAAAUGUGGCCAAUUGAGCGAAAAUGACUGAGACGCGCAAGCAACGCGAAGCGCGCCAAGUACACCAAGUGAAUAAUAAGCAAAAACACAAAUUUAAGAAACGGCGGAAAACACGCGCGCGUGGCAAACGAAAAACAAGUGAAGCAUCAGCGUCAAGCAAUGAUAAUGGAGCGCUUGCCAGCACAACAAGUCAUGGAAUCGGUUUCAGGUGACGCGCCCAAAAAGCCACCGCGCUUGAAAGCCAGCAACGCCGACAGGCGCGUGCGGAGUGACGCAAGCGCUGGAGAACACUUCAUUGCCGUGCCGAGUACCGACAAGCCGGGUAAUGGUAAAACGAAGAAGCGCCUACAAUUCCAUAGUCCGUUACUGACGGCGUCAACUACUACACCGCACUACCCAGCAACUGCAGCGGCGACACGGCCAACACAUGACAUUGCCAGCGAAACCGUUAAAGAAGGCAACAAGCAACCCCAAAUGAAUGCCAAACAGCGCGCCAGCAACAUAAAGCAAGAAAAAACAGCAACGCCAACUGUUAGUGAUAGUGUGGCAGCUUCCACUGCAACGCCUAUAUUUCCUGCGAGACCGACUUCGACACCGACACCGACGACCAUAAAAAACGUCUACGCGUUGACAGGGCGCAAAGCGACAGCUGCUGCAGCGAAAACACCAGCAUCAGCGCCAGCAACAACAACAGCAACGGCGACAGCUGUAUGCGACAUCAAGGUUGGCGGCGAGGGCGUUGACGAAGGCGGCGCGCAAAUCCGCUUGGCGCGCGGCUGCACAAGCCUUAUGUAUGCAUGUCAACAUGGCGACAUUGCCGAAGUUUUGGCACAGCUGCGUUCGCGGCCGGAACGCAUACGUCAACGUGACAGUCGCAACAAAAACGCACUACACUAUUGUGCCGCGCAGAACGCGCAGACACGUGAACUCGUGGCGGCUGCCAGCAUCGCCGUCGCAGCUCCAGAGUUGCUGGAGUCUGCCGACGAGGAUGGCUUUACGCCGCUUCACUUGGCUGUUAUUCAGGGCAACUUGGCGAUGGUCAAUUUGCUGCUGGCGAAUAAAGCCGACGUGAAUGCGGUCGAUAACGAGGGCCACUCUGUGGUGCAUUGGGCGACGGUUUGCGGUGAAGUGGAGGCCUUGCGUUCGGUGCUGGCGGCUGGUGCGAAUAUUGCGAUUCCCGAUUUGAACGGUGGCACGCCACUACAUUACGCGGCGCAGAUGUGUGGCGCCAGUGUUGACAACAAAGUGGGUCAGGCUAAUGCCACUAAGCUGGCGUUGGAGAUACUCGGCAUUCUGCUUUCACACCCGCAUUCCAGUGUUGACGUACAGGACAAAGAUGGACGUCAGCCGCUGUUGUGGGCCGCUUCCGCGGGUUCCGCGAAGGCUGUCAUUGCUCUGGUGAAGGCUGGUGCACGUGUGGAAAGCGCGGAUAAAGAUGGCUUGACGGCGCUGCAUUGUGCGGCCUCACGUGGGCACACCGAGUGUCUUGACACGCUGAUAAGUCUUUGUGGCGCGCCAACGGACCUGAUUGAUUCGAACGGCUGCACGGCCCUGCAUUACGCCGUAACAUUGGGACAUGCAGAUGCCACCGCACGUCUGCUCGAUUUAGAUGCCGAUCCGAAUCGGCAAGACCGCAAGGGACGCACACCGGCGCACUGUGGCUGUGCGAAGGGCCAAUUCGAAACGGUUAAACUGCUGAAGGAACGCGGCGCUAAUUUGUGGUUGCGCAAUGCUAAAGGCGACUUGCCAGUGCAUGAGGCGAGCUCAUCGGGCAGACGUGAGCUCGUCGAGUGGUUGUUGGAACAGCGACCCAAGCAGGUUAAUACCACAAGUAAUGACGGACGCAGUCUCCUACAUAUUGCUGCGAAUAAUGAUUACACCGAUGUGUGUAAAAUGCUGCUGGACUAUGGCGGUGAUAUCAAUGCCAUAUAUCGCAGUAGCAAAGGUAUGGUUUUCACACCGCUCGACUGCGCCUUGCAAAAGGGACAUCGCGCAACUGCCAAAUUUCUGCAGUCGCAUGGCGGUUUGCCAGCCAGUAAGUUGCGCUUGGCAGCACGAAGGGCGAAUCCAUUUAACGAGGUCAGCAGCGAUAUGGUGCGUCCGUUGCGAUAUGUGGAAAAGGAAGAGCUGCAUGAUUUACAAAACUCCAAAAAAUAUGUUGUCUACCUGAAACAUUCGGACUCGGAAGGUGCUGGUGGCGAGGGCGAUAGCAACUGCAGCUGCCACGAGCGAACCUAUCGCAGAGAACAAAAGUUUGCCCACACCUGUCGACGUCAUCAACAUAGUCGACGGCGGCAAAGUCGACGACGCACCAGCAGUUGUGGUGAGCCGAAAGAUUGUCACCAUCAUGACGACGGGGAAGUUGAUAUUUGUCGAUCUAAAAGUAAUAUUGAGAUAAGGCGUCGAAAGUCACGAGAGCGUUAUGCAAGCUCAAGCGAAUGGGAGGAUAGAGCCGAUGAUUACAAUGAAGACGACGAAGAUUCUUGUGAGAAUUGUUGCUAUCAUAAGCGGCAGAAGCAACGUGUUAUACGAAGGAAGUCCAUAUCAUCACGUCGUUCGAAAGAGCGCGAUGGACGAGAACGUGACAGUGAAAAAGAGUCUUCCCCGGAGAAAAGUAAAGUAAGAGAGAUUGAAGUGGUACGUGAACGCGAGGAAAAAGCGCCAGACAUGAAGGCGGAUUCAGCAACACAGCCGAGUGAAAGUAAAGAAGCGGCUAAAGAAAAAGGCAGUCGUCCACAAUCGGCUACUACACGUUUGACAGCAAAUAUGGCGGGUAUCACAGCAAAGGAAGCAACAUUUAUAAAGUCAACGCAGCAAGCUGAAACACAAUCAAUGGAGUUGACCGAUGAAGAUGGUAAACCAGCAGCUGAGUUAGUAACUACACAAGUAGAGGUACAUCAAGAAGCAGAUUCUGUUUCUAUGGCGCAGCCGCAGACAGAGUUUGCAGAACAGGUUCCAGCUGAGGAGGUUAAUAAUGAGCCGGAAGAUAUGACUACGCUGGCAGAUGAGAUGAGGAAAGAAGUUGAUCAGGUAAUGAAAAUAGCUGCGCUGGCGCUUGAAAGUGAUGCAAAGAAGGGUGAUAAUAGUAAGGAGAAAGAAGAGCAGAAUGGAGAGCCGAUUGAAAUGGAAGAUAAAAAGUUAACAGAGCAAAUGGCGGAUACAGUGGAAACACCUGUUGUAAAAACUGAAGCACCAGCUACUGCACAAGCAGAAGAAGCCACAAAAAUUGUACCUAAUCUAACAGAAACUCCAGCAACGCCAAUACCAACACCAUUGCCAAGUCCCAUACCAGCAGGAACAGCUGAAGAACCUCCUACUUCAGCUGCUGCGACCACCACGCCAACUCAAGCUGAUGAACCACCGUCCAAAGUCGAAGAAAUCAAAUCAUCGGAAACUGCAGAUGCAACCGAUGCUACUGCAACAGAAGCAGCGCCACUUCAAACCAAUGACUCAGCUGAAGUGGCAGAAACUUCCAAACCUGAAACAACUGCUGCGCUUACUUCCGAAGAAAAACCUGCACCAGAACCAACUACACUUCCGUCUAGCAAUACUUCCGAUAAGCAAUCGCCACAAAUUGAAGCACAAAAACCGACGCGUGAAUUAGAACCACGGCGUUCGUUCACCUUAUUGCCGUCUGAUUCAGCCGAAGAUGAGGGCACCGAAGAAGUCGUGCGCAAAUCAAGCUUCCAAAUUUUGAAAAGUGAUGAUUCCGGCGGCGAAAGUGGCAGACACCAUGAAGAGCUCGAACUCAGCGACUCGCAGGUCUUCAAAAUUGUUUCCGAACCACAAAUGCGCUUAGGUAAGCCAUACCCAGAAACGGAAGCAAGCUCCAUGGACGACGAACAUAGAGAAGCCGCUGCCGGCGAUUAUGAACAAGAUGAAGAUCACAUAGAUGAGGAUUACGAUAACGAGGAACUUAAGCAGAAUGCAGCAGGUGUGCUCAAUCGUCACGGCGUGGGAAACGCAGAGGGUGCAUUGCCCAACAGCGCCGUUCUCGGCAUCUACGAUUACUCGAACGGACGUAAACGUCGUCUAAAGAAGCGUGUGCGAAGCGGCCCAAAAACGCGUAGCAAUUGGAAAAACAAGACAGAUAUUACCGACGGAGAUGACGAGCAGACGGGAAGUUAUGCGCAAGCUGCCCAAUCCAGCAAAGAUCACGAUUCCGGUUUCGAACCAAGUCCACGUGCUUCGAAGAGUAAAAUACCAACACCACGCAACAUAUACACGGCACAUGUGCCGCGACGUCAUACCCAUGCCACACUCGAUGGUCGCUCGCGCAGCGGUCGUGUGGAGGGCCGCAAGCCGGGCGAUCGCGGUGCCACUGAUAUGACAGCGGUAACGCGCUCCAUACAACGCAACAUCAGAAGGUAUUACAUGGAGCGCAAGAUCUUCCAACACCUGCUGGAAUUGAAGUCCCUGCAAAUACGCUCCACCAAACUGAACGAAGCCGUGCUGGUGAAGCGCGCCGUUGACGAUUACCACAAAUCAUGUGCCGCGCUGGGUGGUGAGACGGGCACGCGCUUGCGGCGCUAUCCAUUCAGCGAGUACACAUUCAAGAAUUUCGAGUUGUUCCUCUACGAGACACUGAAGGCACUGCAGAAGCCGGGCACCUAUAAUUUCCAGAACAUCAACGAGGUUUACGAGGAGGCGGAACGCCGUUUGAGUCCCGACUACAACGCUUACGAGAAGGCGCUGCAGUGCACCACCAAGACCCACCGCUGCCUGCACGCUGCCCACGCCUACACUGGCAUACCGUGCGCCGCUUACAUACCCAUGAUGAACCAUCACACAAUGCCGAAGUUCGGUUUUGGCGCGUACAAGAAGACCGGUGUGGGGAGUUUCUAUCUGCCGAAGAUACUGACCAGCGGCGGUUGCGGCGGCACGGGUGGCAGUGGCGGUUGUGGUGGCGGCAAAGUUGCGCUGGAGCUAUCGCAUGGCAAGAGCAAACAACUUAUUUCACUGCCCUCGGACAAGUUGGACAGUAAUAAACGGUACUACGUCACAUUCACCGUGAAGGAGUCGGGCGGCAGCGGUGCGGCGAUGGGCGCCACAACUGCGGCAGGUUGUGGUGGUGGCAGUGCAACGGAUGCCGCCGGUGUUGCAGCCGAUAAACAGGCAACUGGCGGAUGUUGCGGUGGCAACGAUGCAACCGGAAAGUAAAACAACACAAACAAUCAACCCAAACGCUUGCUGUUCGCUGUCUACUCCACUAGCCACGCACUUCCACAACAGCCGGACAAGUUAAUAACAAACGGAAAUCAAAUGCAAUAAUGUCGUGUGCACUUCCGCCGCGCGCGCUCCUUGCACGUUGAUGGCCAGCAAGCGGAGCGCGUUGUGUUGUAGAACGUAAGAGAGAGAGAGAGAGUGUGUUGUGCGGUGCAAACAUGUCCUGCUCGUAGAAGCGCUAAAUAGCGCUGCGUAACAACUUUAUUUUUUGAUAGCUGCAAGCGGGCAUUAACACUCACGCAAAUUUAUAUACAAGGUGCGUUCCAAAGUAAACAGGACUUAGAAAAAAAAAAUGUUUUUUUCGGCAAAAUCAAUUUAUUUUAUUCAAAAUAGUCUCCUUCUGCUUCAAUAUGCUUUUUGCACGGUCCAAAAGCAUGUCGAACGAGUGUUUUAGCUCGUUGGCCAGAUAUGGCCGCCAGUAUGCCGGUGCAAGCCUUUUGAAUGACCUCUACGUCUGCAUAACGCUUUCCUUUCAUGGGCAAAUGCAUUUUUCUGAAAAGGAAGAAGUCGCACGGUGCCAUAUCAGGUGAAUACGGAGAGUGGUUAAUGGUUAAAAUGUGAUUUUUGGUCAAAUAAUCGGUCACAAGCGUCGAUCGGAUGUUGGAUUCUGAGCAAUUUAUGGUCGUCAAUCAAUUUGUGCAGAACAAACCGUGCACAAACCUUUCGUAAGCCCAAAUGUUCAGUCAAAUUGCGAUAAAUCGAUAUUUUGGAGAUGUUUAAUUACAUUUCCAUGAAUUUCAGCCACGAUUUCGGCUGAUUUUUGAUGAAUUCACGCACAGUUUUGAUGGAAUUUCCGGUGAUAACGGAUUGAUCGUCAUUUAUGUCCUCACGACCACUUUGAAAACAUUGAAACCACUCGUGCACUCUGCUAAGGAAUAGGCAAUCAUCGCCAUAAACUUGUUUCAUCAAUUGAAACGUUUCGGUAAAAGUUUUUCCAGUUUAAAAAAAAUUUAAUGUUGGCUCUUUGUUCGAAGCUCAUUUUCGCACCGAUAACACAAACAUACUGACACUUAAAACGCAAUAACUUCACUUUAGUCUAUGAAAUGUCAUGAAAUUCUCACUGGACAAUCGAUAAAUAUAGCAGACAUAUAGAUGUCGCCACCAGGGGGCGCUAGGUUCUUCUUUACUUUGGAACGCACCUUGUAAAUACAUAUAUAUAGAUAUAUGUAUACUAUGUACAUAUAUUGAAAAAUUGAGGGGAUGAUAGCGCGCAGCGCGGAUUUAUUGCUUCGUUGGUUGCAGUUCAACUUUCGCCAAUUUUGUACUUAGUUCUAUUACUGUUUUGGUUUUUCGACGCUUAUGCUGGUUGUUGUUGCCUUGCAGUAAAGCAUUAAUACCCUACACGAUCGCGUUGCAGGUUGGUUACGUAAUUUCAAUUUUCGACAAUUUUGAGUUGGGCUCUUUUCAUCGUUUAUUUUGUGGGUAUUUAUCUAUUAGAUUAAUAUAUUUUCCAAUUAUUAUAGUUUUUAGUUUUUAAGUGAAAUAUUAAUAAGUCGGUUGCCGGCCGAAAUGCGAGAGAACUGGUUUUGCUGAAAGAUUUGUUGUUUUCUUGAAGCCAGAGAGAGAGCACGCCAUAACUUAAAAUGUUACACACUUCAGUUAUACAUAUAUUGUAUAUAUUUUUUAUAUAUUUCGCGAGUUUGGAAUCAGCUGAAAAUGUUUUUUAUUUAAUAUUUUCAUUUUAGUAUUUCUUCAGUUUAUGAUUUUUCUCCGUAUCGGCAAGUUUUGCGGAUCGAAAUUUUCAUUUUGUUAUAAUUUUUCGGACUUCUAUGAAUAUAUACAAGUUACUACACCAAAAACUACUGAAAAAUAUCCGCUUCCUAUUUCACUCAUACAAAACGAGUUUGUGUGUUUGUAAGCGCCGCGGCACUUAGGGUCCAGUAUGAUUUUAUUUAGCUCUCUCUUGCUUAGUUGCGAUUAAAAGUUACAAAAUUCUUUCGGUAACUCAGUCACUUCAUUUAGAAGUUGUUGCAUUGCUCGAAGGACAAUGUUCGAAAAGUUUUAUUUACGCACCGAAAGUAAAGCGUCAGUGGGUUGUUGCAGGCGGAACUGGUUGGCAACCGAGCGUGCCACGAUUUAAAUUUUGAAUUUUGAAAGACUGCUUUUCAAUUAUGUUACUUAAUAUUUUAGUCUUCUAGUAAUUGGUUAGACAUCUAUUACAGGCGAGUUUACAACAGCGCGCCAGUCAUUCUUUCGUUGCGCUGUUUGGUUUCAAUCAACUAUCAAGGAUCAUUUAAAAUAAUUAAGAAAUAUUUUUAAAAACAAGAAAAAAAGAUCUGAAUUCAGUGCCGAAGAAAUUACUAGUUAAGAUAUUUCUCGAGAAAAAUGUGAGCUGGCAAGAAAGGUUUUUAACGAAUUUUUUAUUCGGAAAUAUAGACUUUCCGUAAUGUUAAGACGGAGACUUCGUCCUUCCAUGGUUACUUGCAAGAUUGCAUGUUCGGAUUCAGAGUGAUUGAUUACGUUAUACAAUUUAUACAGAACAAGAAAAAUAUGAUAAAAUAACUGUAGAAAAGCUAAAAAAACGACAUUUGAAACUUCCUAAAACGUCAUAUAUUCUUUAGGUGGCUAUAUGAAAGCGAGGAAAUAACGAGUAAGUGUGAACUGAUGCCUGACCAAUAACUUCUAUUUUACUUAUUGACGAAGCCAUUUAGCCAGAAAUUAGUCUCAUCUCUGAAGAUAACUUUUCGAUGAAAACACGGAUCAUUUUCAAGUUGUUCCUCAGCUCAAUUCAUGAACAUACGACGAUUCUUGUGGCGGCUUCAUUUCUUCAAUUUAAUAAUAUCGACUCUUUGUUGGAUCGUAUAUAUUUUUUCAUGAUGAUCUUAUUUAAGAGAAAUGUCAAAAGAGCGGGAAAAAUGGCAUCGUUUUCUGUCCCUAUUAUUUUUGUAGCGUCCCUGUUGAGAACCCGAUAUUAGUACCAUUAGUACGUAGGUUGCUAUAUAUAUUUCUGGCCUAAUAAUGUAAAUAGGCAUAUUUAUCAACGAAAAUGUUUUUUUUUUUGUCGAUUGCUGUUUUGUUUCGGGCUCAUACGCAUAGAGCCAUGAUUCGUCUCCUGCGACGAUCUUAUAAACGUCUUUUGAAGCACCGCGUUCGUAUUUUUUCAGCAUUUCUUUACACCAAUCCACACGAGCGUUUUUUUGAGCGGUUGUCAAAUUGUGCGGGAUCCAACGAGAACAAACCUUUUUUACGGCCAGGUGUUCAUGCGAUAUCGAAUGUAUGCUGGUGGGAGAAAUGCAUAGGCAUGCCUCUAUCUGAAGAUAUGUUACGUGACGGUCUUGCAUUAUCAGUUCACGUACGGUAUCGAUGUUUUCUGGCACAACGGCUGUUUUUGGACGACCUUCACGGAAUUCGUCUUUGAGCGAGCGUCGGCCACGAUUGAAUUCGUUGUACCAGUUUUUCACAGUGCUAUAGGAUGGUGCUUCAUAGCCAUACAAAGAUUUUAGUUCAUCGAUGCACUCUUGUCGUGAUAAUCCACGUCGAAAGUUGUGAAAAAUGAUCGCACGAAAAUGUUCACGAGUUAAUUCCAUUUUUUGGCCGAGAUGAAUUUUUUAAUUCCCUGUAAAUAAAACAAUUCACGAUUAAAUGACAAAAUGUUCUGAGUGAUGUUAUGCUAAAAAAUGUCAAACUUUCCAAUGGAAAUGUCAUCUUGCACCUGGCAACACUUAGUGUUGCCCUAGGCCAGAAUAUAUAUAGCAGCCUUCGUAUUAAGAAAGCUGAGUCCAAGCUUUGCGAGCAGACUAAUGGCGAUACGAAGACGGCUGUUGCUAUUUAAAUUUUAUGUAAUUUUUUAUGAGUUUGAGUCUUAUUUUUCUAGCCAGAGCUAUUUACGUAGACGUUGGAACUUUGAAUGAAAUAAGGAUCAAAAUAUUAAUGAAGCAGGGUUGAAAUCUCAAUGAAAAUUUUAAAGAAUAAAUUUUACUGCACUCAUAUUAAUAUGUCCUUUCCGUCAGAAAUUUACAAUAUAUUUAUACGUUUUUCCCCUUUGUAGUUUCUUAAGUUGGUAAACAAUUCUUGAUAAAUAAAUUAUAAUGCCGAAUUGGAUUAUUAAUUUUCUUUUAUUUGCUAAACCAGCUGAGCUUACUGCGAAUAACUUUGUUUUAUUUCCAAUAACGGUAAAUUUAGUAAAGUUAUUGUUGCUGUUAAGUGGCUUCGAAAAAGAACUGCAACUUCAGAAGUGCAAAUAGCAAGCAAACUCUCCAACAACAAAAAAAUAUAUAUAUUAAAAUUGUUAAACAAAAAGCAAUAACGGCAUGUACCUACAUAUAUACCAUAUAUGAAUACUUUUAUAAGUAUGUAUAUAUACCAAAAUAAAACAAAUAAAACAACAAACACUUAAUUAACAAAGAAAUAUUCAAUUGAAAAGUGCUGCUAAUCGAAGUUAGCAAAGGCACAACACAGUUAUGUUCUGUAUGUAUAUGUAAUUGUAACCUUAAUGUGAAUCAUACUUGUAGUUAACUGUAAUAUUUUACAAAUAAAAUGGAGAUAGUAAAAAAGGUGAUUU